rnacentral:rRNA from 1 species
UGGGGAAUAUUGGACAAUGGGCGAAAGCCUGAUCCAGCCAUGCCGCAUGAGUGAAGAAGGCCUUUGGGUUGUAAAGCUCUUUUAGUGAGGAAGAUAAUGACGGUACUCACAGAAGAAGUCCUGGCUAACUCCGUGCCAGCAGCCGCGGUAAUACGGAGAGGGCUAGCGUUAUUCGGAAUUAUUGGGCGUAAAGGGCGCGUAGGCUGGUUAAUAAGUUAAAAGUGAAAUCCCGAGGCUUAAACUUGGAAUUGCUUUUAAAACUAUUAAUCUAGAGAUUGAAAGAGGAUAGAGGAAUUCCUGAUGUAGAGGUAAAAUUCGUAAAUAUUAGGAGGAACACCGGUGGCGAAGGCGUCUAUCUGGUUCAAAUCUGACGCUGAAGCGCGAAGGCGUGGGGAGCAAACA